rnacentral:rRNA from 1 species
UACGUAGGGUGCGAGCGUUGUCCGGAAUUAUUGGGCGUAAAGAGCUCGUAGGCGGUGUGUCACGUCGGUCGUGAAAACUUGGGGCUUAACCCUGAGCUUGCGGUCGAUACGGGCAUCACUUGAGUUCGGCAGGGGAGACUGGAAUUCCUGGUGUAGCGGUGAAAUGCGCAGAUAUCAGGAGGAACACCGGUGGCGAAGGCGGGUCUCUGGGCCGAUACUGACGCUGAGGAGCGAAGGCGUGGGGAGCGAACAGG